AAAAGGUCAAUUUGACUUCAAUAAUUCAGAAAACUUAGCUUCAAAUUGAAGCUACCAUUUCUCUCAGUAGUCACUCGAUCCCCGCUCUAUUUUCUCUCUAUCUCGCCUUCCUUAUUUUUAAUAUUCUUGGAUCGAAAACUGUUCCUCGAUGUGUUAGUUUUUCUUCCCCGAUUAAACAGGAACUAGAGAUACCCACCCCCCCUUUUGUUUCUGAUCGCCGGUCAAACAAGGAAGAGAAUCGAUGGCUGUCGCCGGCCAAGACAGGUCUUCCUCUUCCUCUUUUUUGUUGAAAAUUACCACACUCAAACAGCCCCUUUCGAGGCUAUUGUUGCUGCUUUGAUUUCCUUCGUGUUUGCUGCCGGAAAAGAAGGAAGAACCGGCGGGGUAGCCACCAGAGCAGCCCCUCGCCACUAGACGUCAACGGCAACUGCCCUUUGAUUCCACUGUCGCUGGUGACAACCUUCUAUCGGCUCUCCCUUCCUCGUGAUUUGAUUAAAAACCGCUGAUGCCCCACUUUUCAUGUUCCGAUCACCUCUUUUCUCGAUCAGACGUGGAUCGAAGACCCCCCUCGAUUUCUACCUUCUUUCUUCUUCACGAUCGGUCACAGACCGAAGAACCUUUCCCCUUGUUUGAACUACUUGUCGAAAUUAGCCCCCUCAUUUGUGUUGUUGGAGAAAAUCAACCCCUCACUUGUAUUAGUUAAUUAGAGUCAACCUCAUUUGAUCAAGUUAUUGCAAAUCAGCCCCCAUCUAUUUAAGUUAUUACCAAAUCAAUCCCUUCAUUGUUUUAAAAGACCAAAUCAGCCCUCUCAUUUGAUUGGUUUGACAAAAACAACCCCUUUUGGUUAGUUAAGUUACUAAACAAACCUUCAUUUAUUUUAAAAGAUGAAAACUGUUUCCUUUUGAUAAAGCAGUCCUUUUUAAAACAGUCCCGAAAGUGUUUCAAAGUUCAAGAGUGUCAAGUUGAAGUUUCUCAUGUAAAGCUUCACAAAAAUGAACCAACUUCGAACCCAUGCUUCAAGGGUGAGUUUCUAAGGUCUCUCUUUUACGGUUUCAUAUUUAGAGACGAAUAUAUGCGUAUUUAUCAAAAUCUUGAUGUUUUACAAGUUUUUAUACAUAAAAAGGCAUUAUACUUUGUUAUUGUUUAAAAGUCAUGAAAUAGCAAUCUAAAAUGUGAUAAAUCACCAAUAAAUAUAUUAAAUUAAAGUAGAUUGUUAAAAAAUGAUAUGUUUAUACUUUACAUGAAAUAUGAAAAUAAAUAUUAAGAAAAAUCACAAGAUUAAUAUAAGAUUGCUAUAAUGAUACAAAUGUAUUUGAUGUUUAUAAAGAUUAUGGUAAUCAUCAUAAAUAAGUUUGAACAUGCUAAAAAUACAUAAAAAGUGUAUCAUAUAUAAUCAAAAAUUAUAUUUAACAUAUUUAGGUAUAAAAAGAAUAUACAUUACCUUAAACGGUUGAAAAACGAAGUUUGAUCAAUUACAUAAUAAUUCAUUGAAAAAUACCAAAAAACAAUUGUUAUUAUUAUACUCUUUGACAUUAUGUGAAAAUGAUUAUAAAUAAACGAUAUAUUUUAUUUUUAUAAAUAUUACAGAAAUAUAAAUCAUUUUUACUAAAUAAUGAGAUUUGUCACAUAUAAUCGCAUAACUGAUUUCCGAAUUUUAAGUAUAGUUACCUAAUAAAUUAUGUAUCAUAGCAAUUAUGUAAUCUAUUGAACAUUAUGAGAAUUGUUGGUUUCACAUUGGUUGAAACUUAGAAAAUGUUAUAAAUGCAAUUGUGAUGCUGCCCAAAUUUUGUCUUAAUAGACAAUAGAAAUUUUGGAAAUCCAUUAAAUCUUACGAAUCUCAAAUACUAAAAGACUUUAAUCAAAAAUCAUUCCUAAACACCAAAGAUUUAAAAGUGUUCAAAGAACUUAUAAUGAAAAGUUUAGGAUUAGGAUGCCUAGACACAUUGUUAGGAGCCAAUACACCCGAAUUUUCUAGAUGAGUUAUGUUUGUUUCUAAAAGCCAUGUGAGCUAGGAUCAUUUCCUAAGCUAUAUGGGCUACGUUUUGUUCUUUGAACUAACACCACAAAUCUUAGUAAAACGUUAUGAUGCAUAAUUGUUAAUCUGUACGGAGUGAGAAACGUCAGGUAUAGAACUGAUGCACACUAAUCUAUAUGGGUUAACAUCCCGCCCACAUGUUGUUAGCUACAACCAUCAUUUGAUGAGUUGAAUUUGGUGUUGAGUUUGCAUUUUUUUUUAUUGCACGAUGUUGAUCAAGCGUUGCUAUGUAACUGUUAGCACGUCCACUUUUGUGUUGGUGUAGAGGUGUCACGUCGUAAUGUUGGUUAUAAGCUCAUCAUGGACCCCGAGGAUUUUUUUGUUACUAUAUGGAAUUGGAUUUCAUACAAGAUUUUUGUUUUCUUACCCUAGUGAAAGAGACUAUUCGUAGUGGAAUACUUGCGACUCAAAAUGAUAAGUAUCAAUACCAAAAAUUAAAUUAUGUAAUAGUUGAUUAACUUCAUGAUACGACUGAUCAAAGUUUAUUAACUUAUGUUUAAUAAGUUAUUUAUAUAAGCGCCUUAGUUUUUGUACGAAAAUUUUAUGUUUAUGUGGGAGGAGUUCGCCUCAUUGUUUAAGUUUCAGUUCCCAAAUUAAGUAAGAUAACACUUAAUAACUAUGAUGACACAACCUUACAAGUUUUAUAAACUCAAAAUCUAUGAGUUUUACAUAUAAACUAUAAAAAUUGCUUGUACGAAACUUCAAGAGUAAAGUUAGUUAUUUUAUGUUUUCAAAAAGCUUAACGUGCCAUAUAAUUUGGUAUUCAAAAUCUUUAUAUAAAAAUGCAUUUUGGUCAUGAGAACCGUCAAAUUUUGAUAUAUGUUUGAUUUACUUAUAUAUUCACCAAAUUUUGUACUUUCGGAUUUGAACAAACGAUAUUUCUAAAUGAGUCCAAAUACAGUUUUUACUAAUUUACUUUUAUAAUUUUGAAAAUAAAAUCACAUAUUUAUAAAUGUUGGUCAACCAAAUAAAUUUUAUAAAUCACUUUUGGUUAUAAAAGUACUUUGUGUCAAAAGCUGUAGAGCUCACCAACAAUUUUUGUUGAUGUAUCUUAAUGCAUGUAUUCUCAAGGUUAUUAACAGGUUGGAAGGAUUUGCAUAGAAUACUUUCCAUUAUUUUACUAUACUAUUGUCAACGCCGAUCUAUUUGGUGUGUGUAGUGAUUUAGCAAUAGUCAUUGUCAAUGAAAAUUAUAUUCCGGUAAUAAUAGAAGCUUAUAUUUGUACUAUUCAAUGUAUGUUCAAUAACUGUGAUCACUGAUUUAUGUCGCAAACAUCGUUUCCGUCGGCUGCUGGGGGUGUGAAACUGACUUUAUCCCUUUGCAUGGACAAGAAGAGCAGAAAACCAAAUUUGAAGUCCAUAUUAUCACUUUUUGCUCAAUAACUCAUGCAUGAGUGGAUGAGAGUGGCCAAACUCUCACUUUUAUGACUCAACAACCCCAAAGACAUCUAGAAAUGGCACUCAAAUGAUCUGGAGUAGCUCAUACUCACAAGAACCAAGGUGUUGGGGACAAAAGCACACAAAUUCAUGACCAAACUAGAUCUAACAUGAUUGAGCACCAAGAUAGAAACUUUAUAAAGGGAUGUGGGUUCUAGAUCUACAAAGCCUGGAGCUCUAAAUUUGUUCCACAAUGCAACUCAUCCUUCAAAAGUACAAAAAAAACACUCUAAGAGAUUAAAUAUCACACAAGGUGGCUAGGGUUUUGAGGUGGCUGAUUAAGAGGGUGGAGGCUGAGCAUGGGGAGAACCUCAAGGAGUUAGAACCUUUAAAUAGGGCUCUCAACGUUUAGGGUUUUGAUUCAGCGCUGCUAUGCUCAGCGUAACUUUGCCUAUGCUCAAUGUAAGUCAUUAAACCCUUGUUUCAUUAUUCCUUCACCUACGCUCGUUGUAGGGGACUUUCAUAUGCUUAGCGUAGGGCAAAAUUCCUAAUUUCCAAUUCAGCUUCUAACAAUCAUAACUUCUUCGUUUCAACUCCAUUUUCAAUGCUCUUUAUAUCCACACAAAAGUAUUGACAAACCCCACUAUUGUAAUUAAUUACUUCUGACUUAAAACUUACCGAAUUAAAUUCAUUAAAUCAUGCAAGACAUCAGAAAGUAUUACUUUUCCCAUUUUACCCUUUUGCUCCAAAGUACAAUUCGAGGCUUAAAUCACUUAUCCAACAUCAUCAACAUCCAAUAGGGUCUAAACUCUAUUUCUUGAAGAGCCAAGUACUUUGAAUGAUCGAAGUACGGUCCAAAAUUUAAAUAAAAUAAGAAACAUCCUGAAAAUGGGUGUUACAACUCUCUGGCACUUAAACUGAAUUUCGUCCUCGAAAUCCGUCUCGGUCAGAAUAUUUGAAAAGGCACUAGCACAUUCCAAAAGCUCCAUCUAACCACUUCGAAUUCAAGGCAUCCAAAAUAAAAAUUAAGAGACCAAUCAGAACCUAAUCAAGGCCAACAAACAACCCAAACUCUUAAAAGCACUAAACUAAAACAAUUAUCUUUCUUUCAAUCGCAAAAGUCAAUCCUUAGCUAGAAAUAUACAACCCAGAGAAGAGGAAACGCUAAUGCUCACACUAAACCACAUCGAGAGAAAUACUUCCUCAUCCAUAAUCUGAAGACUCCAAACCCAAGCCUGACUUCUAGUCAGACCGAGCCACCCAAACCUCAACCAUGAUGACCAAGGCUCAUAGAUCUGAUCCGACAAUGAUACAAUAGCCCGCACAUUAUGUCUAAACAACCUUGAGAGAGUCUAACUCUUACCCUUAACUCGAAGGCUCCGAGGUUGUGCCUGAAAACCUUGUGAACAUACCCAUCCUACACAUCAACAUUGCUGACCGGGAAAUUUUCAGGUUCGAUCUAUCCGAGAUCUGUACGAACCUUGCUCCAUCCAACGGAUGGACUAAAGAAUGAAUUCUACAACUAACUACUGAAACUGAUAUCUGCACACACAGAUGCACAACGAACUCUAAUCAAAAGUCCAACAGGCAAAGGCUAACCAAGCCUAUACAUCAACACGACUUUAACAACCCUUAAGUCCAAGAAAGGAACGACUAACCAACCAAUAACAAACUACAAUAGGUCCGUUUCAACCUAAGUGAAUGCUACGGGCCAAAUCGUAGUCUUACAUCACGCUCGGCCCAAUUCUGCCAAUGGUCUAUUUCAACUAUAAGAAUGUUGUGGCCCUCCCACAUUCUUACAAAUACUCCUGCAACAACCUAUGUUAGCCAGGUGAAUGCUAUAGGACAAAUAGUAGUCUUACAACACACUUUUGAUUUCCAUGGGACCUCCCCAUGGUCUUGCCAACAAUCGAAGAAUACCCAGAAAAAACCAACACGAGUAGGACCAUAGCCUGCUAGACCUUAUCAGGUGUUCGGGUCAUGCUUCGAACCCCAAAGCCUUAAUCAAACAAGAACAAGCAACGAGGCUCUCACACAACUCUCAACAUGAACCUAUACACUAACCCAAAAUAUGCCAUUGUCUAUGCUUCAUGUCUUCGGACGAGAUAACCUUGACUCCUCAACAUAUGCUUCCCUGAUUAUGACCAACCGUUAGAUAUUAUUCCUUUCAUAACCUUCGAUUCAUACAACAACCAUAAACAACCAUCCUCCUAUCCUUGAAUAUGAAACUCUGGGUUGACCGGCGCUUGGAAAUAUUUCCAUUAAUCCCAAGCAAUUCUUCCCCGCUUGGAUUCAACUAAACUUUGGUAACUUCAUAAGCACUCAAAUUUCCAAGCCAUCCCAAAAAUUCACCACUUGGUUCUUAACAUCCACACCUGGAAUUUACUAGGCGUAAGAGAAAAAGAAUUCCUCAAACAACAUUGAAGAGUUUCGCUAUAUUACUACAAUCCAUAGCAACAAGACCCCAAGAGUUUCAGUUUCUUGAUCUUAACCCAUGCCAAUAAGCAAUCCAACCAAAAAUCUUCCCAAUUCAAAACAAUAACCAUAUCUUUAAAUAACCCGAACAAAUCCUACCAACGCACAACUUACCUAACAAAGCUUUAUGCUCGAAGGAAGAAUUCUAAAAUCAACUAGAAUGUUGCCAGGACUGCGAUCAAAUCAAUUCCAUUACCAACCCUACUGAUGCGACCUACCAAAAUUUGUUUCUACAUAGGUCUAAGGUCUACGGUCUUACCUGAAGGUUGAACAUGCUGCUCCAUCAUCCUAACUUCAUGCACCAUAUAUUCCUCGGACACCUUGAGCUGAAUCCAUAAAAUCGAACCAGCUGAUGAUCCUCCAAGUAAAUACCAAGUUUCCCCCCACUUAGGGUUCGAACCAUAAUUGAAUGGCAUUUAUCAUAUCAAAGCCUCCGACUGGAUCAACUAAUUACACACCAACCUUGACUCUUGGUAUGCAACAUGGCAUAUAAUGAUUCUUCGAAUAAUGACCAAACGAUCAUAAAGAAAUAUUAAACCUCAAAUAGAGACUUUGGUAACUUCCCAAGAAUAACCACCUUUAACAUUGAGAAUCUCAUGCAGAUGCACAAGCAAUAAUUUCGACAGUCCCAUAAAAGCACCGAUUCUCUAUCUAGAAACAAAUGCAUUACCACACACAACGCCCAUAACUCCCUAUCAAACAACUCAUCGCAAGAAUCAAUAAUGCAUUACCAUACACCUCGCCUAUAUCUCCUUAUCAAACAACUCCUCGAAAGAAUCAAUCAUAAAUAUAGGGGAAUCAUUCUCAUAGUCGAGACACAUCAAGAAAACCUAAGUUGACAUUCCCGAUUCACUUUUCCUGAUUACUUGAAACAAUCAUCCAGAACAUGAUCUAACUGCUUUAAAAGAGAUCAGACCAUUGACCUCGUCUUUUACAACCUCAACAAUAGUGAUUCUCUUUUCCACAUCUGAAAUACUUCGAGGCAACCAUACCAAAAGAAUCCUUAUGUGCAUUCUCACACUUGCCACAGAAACCACAACUAUUUAGUCCCAUGUUGGGUCUACGACCCAAGUCUGAAAUCUUAUGCCUGAUAUCUCUUUCCUCCGACACGGAAAGCUGGAAGAACAUAAUCCCCUUUGUAGAAAAUGGCAUUCUAAGCUAUCAGCCGACCUACUCAGCCUCAGGAUGCAAUCCUUAAUCUUAUCAUCAUAAUCGCUUCCUUCUUGAGUUCCGUAACUCAAAUUCGCACUACUUCGAGCAAGGCCCAUAGGACCUUAGAACCAAAUAACAAACACUUGCCCGCACCAUUCAAACCCAAUCUGCCAUGGCCACUAAGGCACAAAUAAUUACCAAACUCAUCUUCAUUCUUAAGAACCAUCAUCGAUAAAGAUGGUAACACACUGUAAUGAAUCAUUGUGCUCAACCACUCUAUCUACCCUUAAGAAGCUCCUUAGAAUCCCCGUGAUUUUCCUUGAUUCGAGUAUGGAUCCUGUGCUUCUAGUAGUUCGGGCUCAAUAUUACCUUCCACACUUAUCUAUACUUUCCUCAAGAAUCAUCCCAGAUCCUUUAAAUCACUGCCCUGUGACCAUCCUCAUAUAACCUUAUUCUACCAGCGUACCGUUCGCACUAAAGCAAUUCCUAGGAUCUCCUAGGGUUCCCACUCCACCCAACCAUCAAUUACCGAAAGACUCCUACAAAUGUCAACUAACUACCUCUUGCACACAAUCACAUACAACAAAACUUAAAUAAUUUUUUGACUAAAAGAUCUUACUACAAAGGAUGGACUCAGAAAAGAGCUGCAUAAUAGAGCCAAAUUAAUCAUUUUAAAACUAUUUAACCUUUGCGGCAUGUAACUUAACAUAUUCAUUCAAUAGUUAACGAACAUCAAUAUAGGCCCUACAAAGCACAAAGCAUGCAACAUUCGUGCAACAUAAUUAUAUAGGCAACGAGACCUCAUAAAGGCAUCUCUCCUAAUAGGCAUUCUAGCAUACAACCCUGAGCAGAUCCUUCGCCCUAUUCUAGCAUUCAACUCAAAUAAUAACGUACUAAAGCAUAACCUUUAUGUAUGGGUAUUUUGGGAAUCACUUACUCGAGCUCGAUUGAAUGCAUGAAUCACAUCCCUUCAUUUGUAAAAACCUUUUUAGAAAAUCAUUUUUUUCAAAAUAUUUUAUUAAUUCCUCAGUUUCAGUACAGACACACUCAAGAGCGUGCCCAAAUCCCUCAAACCAAGGCUCUGAUACCAACAUGUAACGUCCCUAAAAUACUAAGUAAAAGUUUCAUUUUAAAUAAAUCAAAACCAUUCAUUCAUUUGUUCCAAAAGACCAUCAGAGUAACAGUAUUCUAAAAAACAUCAUAGUAAAAUAAAAAACAACCAAUACGACAUAAAUCUCCACUGGAUGGAGUGUGAUCAAGUCGGGUCAUUCUCUUUGGAACCAAAAGUACCUGAAAACAUUUUAUACAUAAACAGUAAUCACAAAGCUUAGUGAGUUCCCCAAAAUACCACAUACCAUACAUAAUACUGUGAAUUCUGUGAGUUGAAUCAUGAAGUUACAAUCACCUUCUACCAUGGGCCAAAUCAUGGUCUUUCCUUGCAAUGUCAAGGGCUAAAUCCCGAUCGUACAUACAAUUGUCAUGGGCCACAUCCUGGUCUUCACUGAAAGUAUCACGAAGACAAAAAAAACAUCCUACAUAUAAAUGCCAAAAGCCAUAUCAUGGUCUUUUAUACAACUGUGAGGGAUCAGAUCAUGGUCUUUCAUAUAAUUUCAAGGAGGCACAUCCUGGUCUUUCAUACAUAUAUCAUGGGCCACAUCCAUGUCUUUCAUACAUAUUUUAAGGGCCACAUAUUGGUCUUCCAUGAAAACACCACAAAGAUGACUAACAUUCUACAUAAUAUAGUGAGAAAACUCACCUCAAUUUAAAGACAACAUAACCUACACACUCGAACUGAUGAUACCGAGUCUCCACACACUAAACAUACACAUAAUAAACCACAAUUAGCAAUUAAGGUAAUAAAUAACUCACAUAGAAUCUUGGUUCACAAAUAAUCCUCCUUUUGGCAAAAGACCAUUUUGCCAUUCAAGACUAAUCCCAACACGGUUGACCAAAACUCAAACUAGUCAAAAAGUCAACUCUUCGAUGCUAAAAUUAGCGUAGCACAUACCUAUGCUCGGUGUUGCACACAUCUAUACACUCGGCGUAGAGCUCUAGAUGAAAAACGAGAGAUUUUCAUGUUACACUAAGCGUAGAGAAAGCUACACUCAACAUAGCUCUGCUGAUGUCCAAACUUUUAUUAAGCUCUCAAAACUGAAGGGCAACCUCCUAAACUCUCAAAUAUGAAUCCAAUGGAUGUCUUAAUGCAUAAAGUCCUCAACUUAUCCCUUUCCAUGGAUAAGAAGAGCACAAAAAUAAACCCUAAGCCCUUAUUAUCACUUUUUGCUCAAGAACUCAUGCAUGGGUGGAUGAAAGUGACCAAGCUCUCAUUUUUAUGACUCAACAACCCCAAAGAAAUCUGGAAAUGGCACUCAAAUGGUCUAGAGUAGCUCAUACCCAAAGAACCACGAUUUUAGGGGAAAAAGCACAUAAACUCAUGACCAAACUAUAUAUAUAUAACACAAAUAAGCACCAAGGUAGAAACUUUAUACCUUCUGGAGGUAGAUGAAGGGAUGAAAAUUACAGAUCUACAAAGAUUGGAGCUCCAAAGUUGUUCCACAGUGCAAAUUUUCCUUCAAAAGUGCACACAAAACACUCUAAGAGCUCAAAUAUCACACAAGGUGGCCAGGGUUGCGAGGUGGCUACUUAAGAGGGUGAAGGUUGAGCAUGGGGAGAACCUCAAGGAGUUAGAGCCUUUAAAUAGGGCUCACAUCGCUUGGUUUAGGAUUUUGAUUCAGCGCCACUACACUCGGCGUAGUUUUUCCUUCUCUCAGCGUAGGUCAUUAAACUUCGAUCCAUUAUUCCUUCACCUAUGCUCAGUGUAGGUCAAAAUUCCUAAUUUUCGUUUCAGCUUCAAACAGUCAAGACUUCUUUGUUUCAACUCCAUUUUCAAUGAUCUUUAUAUCCACGUGAAGGUAUUGACAAACCCCACAAUUCUAUUUAAUUACUUUUAACUUAAAAUUUAUCGAACUAAAUUCGUUAAUUCAUGCAAGAAGUCUAAAAUAUCACUUUUCCCAUUUUAGCCUCUAUCUCCAAAGUACAAUUCGAGGCUUCAAUCAAAUUUUCAACAUCAUCAACAUCCAACAGGGUAUACAAUCUAUUCCUUGAAGCCCUAAUACCUUUGCAUGAUCGAAUUAAGGUCCAAAUCCAAAGAAAAUAAGAAACAUCCUAAAACUGGGUGUUACAACUAUCCCCCACAUUGUUAGGAUCCAAUACACCCAAGUUUCCGAUAUGAGCUAUGUUUGUUUCUAAAAUUCAUACGAGAUAGGAUCAUUUCCUAAGCUAUUUAGGCUAUGUUUUGUUCUUUAAACUAAGACAAAAAAUCUUAGUAAAACCCUCUGAUGCAUAAAAUUUAAUCCGUAAGGAGUGAGAAACAUCAGGUAUAGAACCAACGCAUACUGAUCUAUACAGGUCGACAUCCCACCUACAUGUUGUUAGCUACAACCAUCAUUUGAUGAGUUGAAUUUGGCGUUGAUGUUUCUAUUUUUUAUUUACUGCAUGUUGUCGAUCAAACUUUGGUGUGGAAUUGUUAGCACGACCACCCUUGUGCUGGUGCAUAGGUGUCAUGUCGUAUUGUUGGUUAUGAGCUCAUUAGUGUACCACCAAAACUUUUUUUUUGCCAGAACCAUAUAAUUUUGCCAACCGUAGGGACCAUUUUUUCAAUUUUGUCUUAAAAAUAAAUAAAUUAAUUAACCCUCCCCACUUAAUUCCCCCUUAAAUCACAAGAGAAAACACACAUUCUUUCCCCUUUCACCUUCUUUUCUCAUUUCCCAUUUCGGUAACCAGCCGCCACAACUAACGUCUCUGUCACCGCGAUCCCCACCAGUAAGGGUGAAAUCCUCAAAACAAACCAGAUGUUGUAAAUCGAUGGAUUUUGGAGUGGAAAUGGGGCAGAUCAAUCAAUGGCAUCAAGAUCCAUCCGACGGCGGUUGAACUUCAGAAAUCAAUUUCUUUUGGGGGUCUCCAGAUGUAUAUCGAUCAUGGGGGUAGUAGUGUUUAUCAGAUUUAAGACAUGUGUCUUAUUUGCUGCCUUCACCCCCUCCCCAUUUCCCUAAUCUUGCAGUCGACAUUCCACAAACUAUUACUUUUGAUGACUACUUCUGGUAUAGAACCACCGCCACUGUUUCAUCGCUAUAUUCACAACUGGGUUGCACUAUGUGCUUCAUGAUUUUGUUUUAGGUUUAAUUUUGGUUUCAUGUAACUUCACAUGUACUAUAUAAGGGGGUGUUUGUUUUAUCUUUUGAACCAACUUUUAGCCUUUAUCUUUUCCAAAAAGUUAAAAAUGAGAUAAAAGAUGUUUGGUAAAGGGAAAAGAUCUUUUAAAACCAACUUUUCAGAAUGAAGGAAAAGGUGCAUUUUGAAAAGUCAGGUAUCCGUGACUUUUUAUAACUUUUGAACCCCUUGACACUUAAAUUACUCAUAUACCCCCAACUACCCUAACCCCAAACUAAUCUAAUCAAUUUAUGUUCUUCUCUUCUCGUCCUCGUUUUGUACGCUCCUCCUCGUUCUUCUCUCUGUCGUUCAUCAUCGAUCUCCAAGCAGUGGUCGCCGAUCUUCCUCCAAAGUCGUCGACAAUCUUCCUCCAAGUCGACGAUCUUCUAUGACGGCGUCUCCUUUCUCCCUCUCUGACCAGGUAAGUUCAAACUCCGAUUUUUGUUUUGUUUGUCUUGAUUUUCGAUUUUCAUUAGCAAAGAAAAUAUGAACUUUCGUUUUUCCUUGCAUUGUAUGUGGAUUUGUUCCUUUGGUUUCGAUUUUCCUUGCACUGCACGGUAUGUGAUUUGUUCCUUCAAUUUGUUCCUUGCAUGGAUCGGUCCUUGUUAACAGUUAUAGAUUUGUGGAAUUGAUGAUUUAUUGAGUAAUAAUUAGUGAAAUUCAUGAAAUAUGGAUGAUAUUGGUUAAAGUGAUGAAAUUUUUUUGUUCACAGUAACCGAUUUGUGUUGUUAAUAGGUAAGAGGUUCCAAUUUCUUUAUUCUGGUUUGUGUUGUUUUCUUCUAUUGUUGUUCUUUUUUUUUUCUAUUUUAAUUAAACUAUGGUUCAUGAAUCAUAUGAAAGAUUGAUUAGCAAUUGUUUAAAUUGAUAAAAUCAUUUAGGAAUGUUAAUGAAAUUGGUUUGUUGUUUAAAUGUUGAUACGAAAUUCAUAGAUAAUGGACGAAAACCUCACCACUGUUGUUGAUUGUGAAAUAUCUUUAAAAUGAAAAAACCCAAAUUCGGAUGGGAUAAUCGUAGCUUCAUGGUGUUUGUUGAUUCAUGCGUAACUGAAGUAAAAAAAAACAAUAAAACCGGUACUCACUUAACUAAAGUUGGGUGGGAGAAUAUACAAAAACAAAUGAAGGACAAAACAUGUUAUAUUCUUGAAAAAAACAACUAAAAAACAAAUGGGAGACCAUGAAAAAAGAGUGGAAGCUUUAUGACCGAUUAAUGAGGCUUGAAACCGGACUCGGUGGGACGAGAAGCCUAAUAGAUGCAUCACCCGAGUGGUGGGAGGAGAAAAUAAAGGAGAAUAAAGAUUAUGCAAAAUUUAGGAACGCAGACUUGAGCAUAUUUGAUGAGAAAUAUGCUUUUUUGUUUCGCGAUUCUGUUGUCGUUGGAGAUCAGACUAUGACUCCAUUACAGUUUCAAAACAAUAGCAAUCCAAACGAAGAAAAUGUGGAGGGCAAAGGAGAUAGUGAUGAUAUCAAUUUAGAUGAUGAUGUUGAGCCUCUUCUUCCUAGUUUCCAUGAAAGUAGUUCAAGUAAGAAGAAAAGGUCUAAGCUUGUUUCCAACAACCGUUCAACCAAGAGUAAAAGUUCAGUUUAUGAAGAAAAAGUAGAUGCUUUAUUGGAUGCCAUAUCAACAAAAAUCACACUAACUUAUCCACAAAAUAAUCCUUCUCCAACAAUAGCAGAUUGCAUGGCCAUUGUUACCAAGUUUCCCGAUUUCCGUGAAGGGUCCAACGAAUUUUCACAAGCAUUGUUUGUGUUCACCAAAAAGCAAAACCGUGAAGUUUUUAUGUUUCCAACGACUGACGAAGCCAAGAUGGGGUUCCUUAAGUUACUUAUGAAAUAAUGAUUUAGCAAUAUGUGUUAUGCUUUGACAUUAUGUUUUAUGAUUUGACAAUAUGUAUUAUGCUUUGACAUUAUGUUUUAUGUUUUAACAUUAUGUGUUGUCCUUUGACAUUUUAUAUUAUGUGUUAUUGUUUGUCUUUAUGUUAUGUGUUAUUGUUUGACAUAUUUUUAUUUGUAUUAUGUAGGAUGGACAGUGAUGACUCUAAUUCAUCUAAUGAUAAUGAAGAAUGUUGGGCGGAAGAGGAUAGAGAAUUUAAAAUUUUAUGUGGAUUAGCUUUGAAAGGGAUAAUACUAGCUCGUAACGUACGUAUACCAUGUCACACUUCAGACCGCACAGGGCACAUGUUUAUCUAUGAAGUACUAAAUGGACAUCCUAGACGGUGUUAUGAGAUGUUUAGAUUGCACGUACUGGUUUUUAGACAGUUAUGCGCAAAUCUUGCUACAAAUUACGGACUACAACAAACACGAAAUAUAUCUAUUGAGGAAUCUGUAGGAAUAUUCUUGAUGACUUUGGCUCAUGGGUGUAGCAAUAGAUUUGUGCAAGAGUUUUUUAAUCAUUCGGGGGAAACAAUUCAUAGGCAUUUCCAUACAGUUUUGGAAGCGGUGCUAAAACUGAGUGUCGACAUCAUCAAGCCAUAUGCAAACUAUAAUGAUGAUGUUCCUGAAUAUAUAUUAAAUAACCCUCAGUAUUAUCCAAUGUUUAAGGAUUGCAUUGGUGCUAUAGAUGGGAUAUACGUUAGGGCAUCAGUUCGACAAAACGAGGAAGCGAAGUACAUUGGUCAAAAGGGAUAUGCAACACAAAAUAUAAUGGUUGUUUGUGAUUUUAACAUGUGUUUUACAUUUGUAUGGGCCAGUUGGGAGGGGACUGCACAUGACACAAGAAUUUUCAAUGAAGCCUUAUAGAGACCAGAUCUUAAUUUUCCAUAUCCAACGGGUGAUAAAUAUUACGUUGUUGAUGUCGGAUAUCCAAAUACUAGAGGGUAUCUUGCUCCAUAAAAAGGCACAAAUAUUCGCUAUCAUUUACUGGAUUUUCGACGUGGACACUCGACUGCUAUUCGUGAACCUCGUGGACCGGAAGAGAAAUUUAACUAUCUCCACUCAUCAUUGCGAAAUAUCAUUGAACAAACUUUUGGAGUGUGGAAAGCUAGGUGGGUGUUAUUAAGAGACAUGCAUGUUAAUUACAAGUAUAAGAACCAAGUGAAAAUUGUGAUAACAUCGAUGGCGAUCCAUAACUAUAUUAGAAAGCUUGGUAGGUUUGAUGAAGCGUUUAAUAGGGCACAACAAGAAUCCUACAAUCACAUACGAGGUGAUACUAGUAGUGAAGUUUAUGAAAAAGGUCCAAGUACACGUCGCACGAGUGAUGUUGAUUUAUAUAUGGCAGAGAUACGAGAUAUUAUUGCACAAGAUAUAAUCGCAUUGUGAA